rnacentral:rRNA from 1 species
CCACACCUAAAAACUAUUCACGUGAACCGUCAAUUAAACCAGUUUUGUGUCGCGUUGUGUGCGUGUUUUCCAUUUCAAUUGCUUUUUUUAAACGAAUCGCGAGCGAGGAGGAGAAGACAAUCGCAAUGUCGACUGAACGAAGGUCGAGUUUGUUUUCUAUUCGUAGAGAACGAGUUUGGCUGAUUUAUUCUUUUUCAAACCCUAAAUCCUAAAUACUGAUUAUACUGUGAGGACGAAAGUCCUUGCUUUUAACUAGAUAGCAACUUUCAGCAGUGGAUGUCUAGGCUCGCACAUCGAUGAAGAACGCUGCGAACUGCGAUACGUAAUGCGAAUUGCAGGAUUCAGUGAGUCAUCGAAAUUUUGAACGCAUAUUGCACUUUCGGGUUAUGCCUGGAAGUAUGUCUGUAUCAGUGUCCGUACAUCACAAUUGCCUCUCUUUUUUGUGUUUUGUGUGUGUUGCACUUUAUUGAGCGACGCGUGCGAGGCGUAGUAUGGAGAUGGUCAGAUUUGAAGUGUCUCGCCUGUUGCGUGUUUUUAAAAUGACACGACAAGUGGGUGAGUCCUUUUGAACGGACACGACUGUUCUGCUGUUUUCUGCAAGAGUGUGGCGCUCGAAAGGCGGCGGUUCCAUUGGGAUCGCUCGCAGUCGGCCGGCGACUUUGGCGGAUGCGUGGGAUAGAGAGAGAGACAGACUCGACUCGCGGUACGUUAGGCGGAGUGCYUUUUUCGGAGAGCGUUUUGCCAAACAAUGUUGCGUGUUGAGUGUGUUUUUUUCUUUGUCUCGUGAAGCGCGUUUGCUUUGAGGUGUACCGUGCCAUUCGUACUGUGAGCUUGAACCUGGUGUGUGACUGUUUUCGCUGGAGUAGAUGUGCUGCAGUAUCUCAUUGUGGAAGUAUUCAUGUUGUUUCUGUCAAGUAUGGGAACGAUGUGAAUAAAGCGCUCGGUCGGAAACUUUGGGAAGUAAUGUGCAUGUGUAUCGUUUUGCUUUUUGCGCGCUGACUUUUUGAUUUAAUAUUGAAAAGUGUGUGUGUGUGAAAAGUGUUUCGUUGCGUGCAUAUCUCAAUUGGACCUGAUAUCAGACAAGACUACCC